AUACUUGCUUCAGCGGUACGUAUACUAAAAUAGGAACGACACAGGGAAGAUUAGUAUGACCCCUGCGCAAGGAUGACACGCAAAAUCGUGAAGAGUUCCACAUUUUU